rnacentral:rRNA from 8 species
AAAAGAAACUUCACACGGCAGCUGUUAUUUAAUGGUCUUAAGGUAGCAAAAUUCCUUGACAGGUAAGUUCCGUCCAGCAUGAGCGGUGUUACGACUUCUUCACUGUCACUAGCUUGGUGUCUCUGAAAUUCAAUUAUCCUUGUUUAUGAGGAACUUUACGGCCUGACGGUAAGACCCUGAGCACCUUUCCU